rnacentral:tRNA from 1 species
GGGGUUGUGGCUCAGUGAUAGAGCACUUGCCUAGUAUGCAUGAGAUACUGAGUUCGAUUCCCAGCACCACA